CCUACGGGUGGCAGCAGUGAGGAAUAUUGGUCAAUGGACGAGAGUCUGAACCAGCCAAGUAGCGUGAAGGAUGACUGCCCUAUGGGUUGUAAACUUCUUUUAUAUGGGAAUAAAACAGGGUAUGAAUACCCUCUUGUAUGUACCAUAUGAAUAAGGAUGGGCUAAAUGCGUGCCAGCAGCCGCGGUAAUACGGAGGAACCGAGCGUUAUCCGGAUUGAUUGGGUUGAAAGGGAGCGUAGGUGGAUGGUUAAGUGAGUUGGGAAAGUGUGCGGCGCAACCGUAAAAUUGAAGUUGAAACUGGCAGUCUUGAGUACAGUAGAGGUGGGGGGAAU
rnacentral:rRNA from 1 species